rnacentral:rRNA from 1 species
CCUACGGGUGGCAGCAGUGGGGAAUAUUGCACAAUGGGGGAAACCCUGAUGCAGCAACGCCGCGUGGGUGAAGGAGCGUUUCGGCGCGUAAAGCCCUGUCAGCGGGGAAGAAGAAAGACGGUACCCGACCAAGAAGCCCCGGCUAACUACGUGCCAGCAGCCGCGGUAAUACGUAGGGGGCGAGCGUUAUCCGGAAUUACUGGGUGUAAAGGGAGCGUAGACGGCGAGGUAAGCCUGAAGUGGAAGCCCGCGGCCCAACCGCGGAACUGCUUUGGGAAAUGUUUUGCUGGAGUAUGGGAGGGGUAAGCGGAAUUCCUGGUGUAGCGGUGAAAUGCGUAGAUAUUAGGAGGAACACCAGUGGCGAAGGCGGUCUGCUGGACAGCAACUGACGCUGAGGCGCGAAAGCGUGGGGAGCAAACAGGAUUAGAUACCCUUGUAGUC